rnacentral:lncRNA from 1 species
AAUUUUUUAAUAUAUUUUUUAUUAUUUAAAUAUGAAGUAUAGAGUAAAGUUUGAUUUUCUAUAUAUAGAGAGCUAAAACAUAUUUUCUAUUUUCAUAAACUUGUCAACUAUACACAGAAUGUGUCUUUCUUUGACGAUGUUUCCGUGCCAACUUUACCUCUACUUAUAGCGAUCGUAAUCAAAUGCUUGAUCCUAUUCCUAUUACGGAUGAGGAAAUUCAAAACAAAGUUUUAGGAAAGGAUCUGCGAAGGCCCCUGGGCCUGGAUGGCUAACCCCAAGAAGAGAAGUUUCUUAAUGCUGAUACUUUCUGUUUCGUCGAGCCCCAAGCUUGUGGUCCUCCUUUGAGUGUGGGUUCAAUUGGAUGAAUCCGAUAAGAACGAAAGCCCUACCCACAGCUACAACUACUGGUGCUUCAAAACGUUUAGAUUAUAAGGGUUAGGCAUUAAAUGACAGAAAAAAUUUAAGUACUCUAUUUCACUUUGAUGUGAAAACGUAACAAUGAAUUUAUUGUCUUAUAACAAUGAAUUUAUUGGAAUUUAUCAUCUCUGACACAAGGUACUUAUUAGAUCGAAAAAGUACAUUAGAUCUAAUAGAAUUAUUUUGCGGCUUUACACUGACCGUACUUCUGGCAAACAUAACUAGUUAUCGAGGAAGAUUGAUUUGAAGCGGCAGGAUAUUCGCUUUAUGAUUUCCAAUGACAUUAUCAAAUAAGGAAAUUGGAAAGCAUAGCAAUUAUAUCAAAUUAUCAAUCGAAUUUUUUAUUUUAUUCAACC